GACGAACGCUGGCUGCGUGCUUAACACAUGCAAGUCGAACGGAAAGGACAUGCUUUUGUGGGUUUCUCGAGUGGCGAACGGGUGCGUGACACGGGAGUAACCUGCCCUUGACUUUAGGAUAUCUUCAGGAAACUGGGGCUAUUACCCGAUAGGAGCUCCUGAUGCAUAUAGGGGGUUGGAAAGUUUCGGCGGUUGGGGAUGGACUGGCGGCUUAUCCGCUGGUUGGUGGGGUAGUGGCUUACCAAGGCUUUGACGGGUAGCAGGCCUGAGAGGGUGACCGGCAACAGUGGGACUGAGAUACGGCCGGGAGUCGUGCGGGAGACAGCAGUGUGGAAUAGUGCACGAUGCGGCGAAGUCGGAUGCAGCAACGCCGCGUUCUGGAUUGCAGCCUUCGGUUAGUAGAGCGCUUUCGCCUGUGACGAAGCGUUAGUGACUGUAAUGGAUAAAUAAGCACCGGCUAACUACGUG
rnacentral:rRNA from 1 species